GUCUUUGUGCUUUCAGCUUCUUUACAGUGCUGCCUUGUAGCAUUCAGGUCAAGCAGCAUUGUACAGGGCUAUGAAAGAACCAAGAA
ensembl:miRNA MIR103A2 microRNA 103a-2